UACGAAGGGGGCUAGCGUUAAUCGGAAUUACUGGGCGUAAAGCGUGCGCAGGCGGUUUUGUAAGUCUGUCGUGAAGGCCCCGGGCUCAACCUGGGAAUUGCGAUGGAGACUGCAAGGCUUGAAUCUGGCAGAGGGGGGUAGAAUUCCACGUGUAGCAGUGAAAUGCGUAGAGAUGUGGAGGAACACCGAUGGCGAAGGCAGCCCCCUGGGUCAAGAUUGACGCUCAUGCACGAAAGCGUGGGGAGCAAACAGG
rnacentral:rRNA from 1 species